rnacentral:rRNA from 1 species
UUUAAGCUUCCUACGGGAGGCUGCAGUAAGGAAUAUUGGUCAAUGGACGGAAGUCUGAACCAGCCAUCCCGCGUGCAGGAUGACUGCCCUAUGGGUUGUAAACUGCUUUUAGCAGAGACGAAACGCCUUCAUUUAUGAGGGUCUGACGGUAUCUGCAGAAUAAGCACCGGCUAACUCCGUGCCAGCAGCCGCGGUAAUACGGAGGGUGCAAGCGUUAUCCGGAAUCACUGGGUUUAAAGGGUGCGUAGGCGGAUGAUUAAGUCAGUGGUGAAAUCUUGUCGCUUAACGAUAAAAUUGCCAUUGAUACUGAUUAUCUUGAAUUGGGUUGAGGUUAGCGGAAUGUGACAUGUAGCGGUGAAAUGCAUAGAUAUGUCAUGGAACACCAAUUGCGAAGGCAGCUAGCUGGGCCUUGAUUGA